rnacentral:rRNA from 1 species
CAGUAGCCGCGGGAAUACAGAGGGUGCGAGCGUUAAUCGGAUUUACUGGGCGUAAAGAGUGCGUAGGCGGCUUCUUAAGUCGGAUGUGAAAUCCCUGAGCUUAACUUAGGAAUUGCAUUCGAUACUGGGAAGCUAGAGUAUGGGAGAGGAUGGUAGAAUUCCAGGUGUAGCGGUGAAAUGCGUAGAGAUCUGGAGGAAUACCGAUGGCGAAGGCAGCCAUCUGGCCUAAUACUGACGCUGAGGUACGAAAGCAUGGGGAGCAAACAGGAUUAGAUACCCCGGUAGUCCCUGUCUCUUAUAC